rnacentral:rRNA from 1 species
GACGAACGCUGGCGGCGUGCUUAACACAUGCAAGUCGAACGGUGAAAGCGGAGCUUGCUCCGCUGGAUCAGUGGCGAACGGGUGAGUAACACGUGGGCAACCUGCCCCUCACUUCGGGAUAACUCCGGGAAACCGGGGCUAAUACCGGAUAUGACCUCCUUGGGCAUCCUUGGAGGUGGAAAGUUUUUCGGUGAGGGAUGGGCCCGCGGCCUAUCAGCUUGUUGGUGAGGUAGCGGCUCACCAAGGCGACGACGGGUAGCCGGCCUGAGAGGGCGACCGGCCACACUGGGACUGAGGCACGGCCCAGACUCCUACGGGAGGCAGCAGUGGGGAAUAUUGCGCAAUGGGCGAAAGCCUGACGCAGCAACGCCGCGUGCGGGAUGACGGCCUUCGGGUUGUAAACCGCUUUCAGCAGGGAAGAAGCCGCAAGGUGACGGUACCUGCAGAAGAAGUACCGGCUAACUACGUGCCAGCCGCCGCGGUAA